UACAGAGGGUGCGAGCGUUAUUCGGAAUUACUGGGCGUAAAGCGCGCGUAGGCGGCUUUGCAAGCCGGAUGUGAAAUCCCCGGGCUUAACCUGGGAACUGCAUUCGGGACUGCAUUGCUAGAGUAUGGGAGAGGGAAGUGGAAUUUCAGGUGUAGCGGUGAAAUGCGUAGAUAUCUGAAGGAACAUCAGUGGCGAAAGCGACUUCCUGGACCAAUACUGACGCUCAUGUGCGAAAGCGUGGGGAGCAAACAGG
rnacentral:rRNA from 1 species